rnacentral:tRNA from 16 species
GGUCCCGUAGCUCAGCAGGAUAGAGCAGCGGUUUCCUAAACCGAAGGUCAGGGGUUCGAAUCCCUUCGGGACCGCCA